GAAGGUUUGGCCCUUCGGAGUCGCUCUGCUGGGGGAGGCUUCAAACCACCUCAUGCUGCAUUAGCUGAAGACUGUUGUGGUGAACGAUGGGGAAAGGCAUCCAUUCGAGAUGUCAGGU
rnacentral:ncRNA from 1 species